rnacentral:rRNA from 1 species
AUUGAACGCUGGCGGCAUGCUUUACACAUGCAAGUCGAACGGCAGCGCGGGCUUCGGCCUGGCGGCGAGUGGCGAACGGGUGAGUAAUACAUCGGAACGUGCCCAGUAGUGGGGGAUAGCUCGGCGAAAGCCGGAUUAAUACCGCAUACGACCUGAGGGUGAAAGCGGGGGAUCUUCGGACCUCGCGCUAUUGGAGCGGCCGAUGGCAGAUUAGCUAGUUGGUGGGGUAAAGGCCUACCAAGGCGACGAUCUGUAGCUGGUCUGAGAGGACGACCAGCCACACUGGGACUGAGACACGGCCCAGACUCCUCCGGGAGGCAGCAGUGGGGAAUUUUGGACAAUGGGCGAAAGCCUGAUCCAGCAAUGCCGCGUAUGUGAUGAAGGCCUUCGGGUUGUAAAGCACUUUUGGCGGGAACGAAAAGGACUGUGCCAAUACCACGGUUCGAUGACGGUACCCGCAGAAUAAGCACCGGCUAACUACGUG